ACCAAAAAUAUUUAAAACAAACUGUACUCAGAGAUAAUUGUAAAAGACAUUAUCGUUUUAAUACUUUUGAAAAACAAUAGGGUUUGAAAUGCUUAAUUAAACUCGUUUUCAAAGUUUCGAUCAAAUAGAUUUUCCUUUGUAAUUAGCUUCUGAAGAAAGUUUUUGGAUUUUAAGGGUUCCCUCUCCCGAAACAAAAGAUAACAGGAAUAAUAAACAGCUGAUCCUCAAAAUGCAAUCCAAUCAUGAGAAUCCACUAUAUUAUUUACGUUGCAUUAAAAUAUAAACAGAAUUUAUCAAUGGCAGUAUUUGAAGAAUUGAUACACAAUAAAGCUAGUCUACACCUUGGAGAAAAGUAGCCUUUUUCACCAAACAGUAAUUAGUAUUGUUUCAAGGUUUCAACAACAGAAAAAACUGAGAACAGAAAAAAAUUGCAGAUUGGAACAGAUUAAUGCAUAAAACAGCAAUACAUUUAAAUAGGAAGAAUAUAUACUUGAUAAUGCCAAACACAGUAGGCAGAAUACUCUUUAUUUUACAAAUUCACCCAUUCAUAUGGUUGGUAAAACAUAUGCUUUUAAAAUAAGAAAAUAUGUGCGCAAUGUUAGAAAUGAAAAGUAAUUCUACUUAACUUUAUUGAAGCACUAGUAAACUUUUCUUUGCAAUUAUGAAUCAUGUAUUGUAAUAAAACAAUAAAGUUUAGAAAAAGU